GAAGUGCGAUAAGCAGUGCGAAUUGCAGAACCGUGAGUCAUCAGAUUUUUGAACGCAAAUGGCGCCAGUUGGCAAUCCAGCUGGCAUGCUUGUUUCAGUGUCUUGUUUUCUCCUAACCCAAAUCUUAAUGUGAGAGAUACCCUUCUCUUACUAAGUACGAAAGCACUCUGUACUCUGCAGGCAUCCUUGAUUCGUCAAGGGUUGCACUCAAUGCAGCAGUCACAUUUUAUAUGUGAACUCAUUGAGAGUUGAGACAGUGCAGUUUAUCUGCUAGUGCUUAGAUCUCUUAACUUUACUUGCAUCUGAAAUCAAGCAGGACCACCCCCUGAACUUAAGC
rnacentral:misc_RNA from 1 species